GGCCAUAACUCCGGCGUCUGGUGGUGGAUUUUUGAAAACUUGGUGUCAAAAGAAGUAUCUUCCCAUUGUGCACAAACCCCAACUGAUUUUAUCACCAAAUCUAUAACCAAUCGAUCAGGAUCUUAAUUUACAUUUCGCGAAAUUACUGUAGCAAACAGAUUUUCUGUGUUUUUUUAUUUUUUUUCUGUAUUUUUUUUCAGUAUUUUCUUUCUGUAUUUUUUCUGUAUUUUGCGAAACUUGAUUUUUUUCUGUAUAUUCUUCUGGCGUUUUUCUUUCUCCUUGUGUUAUUUGCCUCCUUAAGUGUUUCAGAAAAAGCUUAUUAGCUUUCACUGCUUUAGUGCUUUUGC
rnacentral:lncRNA from 1 species